rnacentral:lncRNA from 1 species
UGAGGAGCCACUUCAAUUCAGACUAGGCCACGAAGCUCCUUAGUGAGGAGCUGCCAUGCUGGGCCAUCCACCAUCUGGAUUCCUACGACUCAGGGAAUAGAACACUGCACCUUCCAGAAGCACUUGUUUCUUCGUGGGUACACCACCAGCUGAGAAAGAAGCCUCAUGAUGAUUGUUGUCUUAUGGAUGCUUCUCAUUGCAGGAACCAUGUGGAAGGGAUAUAAAUAUCCCCCAGGAGGGACUCCAGUGGAAGUAAGCAAGGAUGAUCCUGGUGAAGUAAUGCAGCUGUGAAGCUCACCUGACCAGCUGUACAGUUCCUGUUGUUGGUUUCACAUAAAUUCUUGAGACUUGGCUUCCUUCCAGCAUGAUCCUAAGUCAGCCUGAUUGGAACUGCUUG